GGCAGCGUUUCACAGGAAAGAGCGAGACCUCACGCAGCGCGCUGUUGACAGGAAGGGAGCCGCUCGAGGGGCGGGGAGGCCGCACGCUCCGCCCUCCCGCUCUCCGGGCCCGGGCCUGGCGCGGGGCCCCCGCCGCAGGGGAAGGGAGGGGCCGCGGUGGGCCCGGCGGAGGCGGGCCGCACCUCCAGGCGGCUCGGCCCAGGGGCGCGGGGCGGCCGCGGCCCGAGCGCGGUGCCGGGGCGGUGCGGCCGGGCGCUCUGGCGGCCGGAACGAAAUGAAGAGCGCAGCCCCCGGGCCCACCCCGCGGGAAGGGCCCCACGCGGCCGCCCGCCCACCCAUCCCUCCGCUGCCUUAGCGGGGCCUCCGCGGGGCCGCGGUCCGCCGCCGGCGAUUGGCCGGAGCGCUGCUCGCCGGGCAGGCCGCGGAGGGGGUGUGUCCCGCUCGGUGCCGGCCCCGGGGCCGCCGAUCCCUUACCUGGCGCCCGCCCCCACCGGGACAGGCAGGAGGCGCCUCCGCGGUGCGGCGGGACCCGGCCCCGAGCGCGGUGCUCCUCAGCCGCGGGAACAACCGCCCUGAGCGACGGUUAGGGCCGCGCGACGGUCCGGCCCCCUAGCCCGCCCCUUCCCGGCGCCAAGCGCGCUGAUUGGCCGGGAAGGGCUGUUUGAAUCGCUGCUGGCUCCACGCCAUUGGCUGCCGGGCGAUGGCGCGGUCCUCGCGCCCGGCGCCGUGCCGCUGACGGGAAGCCCGCCCCCUGACGGCGGCCGAUAACGGGCAGGAAGAGCGGGCAUUCAGGGCCGCCGCCGCCAUGGCAGCGCAGGGUAGGCCUCAGCCCGCCUGCGCCGCGCGGAGCCCGCCGCCGUCCGUAAACAACGAGGGCCUGGGCGGCGGGAGCGCCCCGCUGAGGCGGGGAUAGGGGGAGUUUACCUGUGAAAUAACUGCCCUGUGCCCAGCGUUCGGAUCUCGGGAAAAUAGCACAUCCUUAAUGAUUAAUAGACAGACUGUUUGUUUGUGUGGCAACUUCAAAGGCUCUCCACGUUGUCUGUGUUGUGACACAGGCUGACAAGACCUGACAAAAAAGGCAUCAAAGUGAGGUUAAAGUCUCAGUAAAAACAGAGCCAGGUUAAAAAGCAGAGCUAAAUAAGUGCAGUUGGAAUGAAUUUGUUCUUCAGCUGUACGAAGGCCAUCAGCUUUUAUCUGGCAGGUAUCUAACAACUUGCUAUAGGAAAAGCCUGGAUGAGAGAGCUGUUGGGCCAUUAGGAACUGUUUAUUAUCAACAGGUUCGCUGGCAGGAUAGAAAUAUGGAUACAUGGAUUGAACCUUCUCAGAUCAACUGUUAAAUGGAACAAAUUUGAAGCCAGUUAGACCAUCAUCAGCAGCAUACUGCCUCUGCACUGCUACAAGACAAGUUUUCUAUGUCUGCACAAAGACCUCAGAAGCAGAGAGGGUUGCCCAUCAACACAAAGCGUCUGAUCUCACAUGAAACUGACUAAAGGGUUCUCCAGCUUUUCAUCUUAACAAGAAACAUUAAGCACUGCAACAUCACGUCUACCUGCAAACACCAAGACAAUCCUAUUCCCUUCGGAUUUGAUUCCUUCAAAUUCCAACCCUUUGGUUUCACUAAGAAACACAGGAGGGAUAUGAGAGGUUGUUGCUGCUGCUGGAGAAUGUCCCGUGGAGGGCAUCUGCCACCUUUCCUUCCCCUGAGUGUCAUCCCUAAAACGCUCCUCAGCUGGAGGAGGAAAGAGGAAUGAAGAAUUUGACAUUACUUGCGGGAGUGAAAUCUAAAUUAACUGUGACUAUCAGCUAUGAAGGCCUCCAUAUGCUAUGCUUACUCACAUGAUUCUACUUACGUAUGUAGUCCUGGGAAGAUGAGAUACACCAGCUGGUUUUGGCCAAACAGGGGACCUCUGUCCAAAUAAUGACAGCAAGACUAGAAUUACGUGUCUCAGCUAUCGUAUUUUCUUUAAUUCAAUAAUUUAAUCUAUCAAAAGGUGUAAGUCUGGAGGUAUCAACAGAUGUUAAUACAUGACUCACAACUCCAAACUGGUGACCGUUUGAGUCCCCUGAAUUAUUAACCAGGUUAUCGCUGCCUGUAAUAUUAUUAACUAUUGAUAUUACUGCACGUGCUGAUAAUUCAGCUUUAUACCUCUGGAAGCUCUUAGAUGUAUCUAUUCCAAAUGCUGUAUGAAAACUCAGGCCCCACAGUAGAGGCUUCAAGUUAAUCAAGUCUGUGGAACUAAGUUCAGCAAAACAAACAGACCAAAUCCACUCACUGCAACAUGGAGGCCAAGCCAGAGACAGUAAGUGAAGAAGUCAGCCUGGUGUAUCUCAAAGCUGCCAGCAGCUUCGUGACCUUUCUCAAGUGCUGCAAGUUUCCUGUGAGAAUUUCCUCUUCUCAAACUACUGAGAGCCUCCCA
rnacentral:lncRNA from 1 species